CCGAGUUUACAACUCCCAAACCCCUGUGAAACAUACCUUAAACGUUGCUUCGGGCGGACCACCCUCGACUAACCUCGAGGGCCCGCCAGAGGACCCCAAACCCAACUUUGUGUUUUUUUUGUCUUACAAAACGAAACUUCUGAGUGGAUCUUAUAAAUCAAAUCAA
rnacentral:misc_RNA from 1 species